CAGCACAGCAGCUCCUCACUGCCAGAUGAGAUGAAGACAUUUACAUCGCUCACUAACUGGACGGCGCGGAGACUUCUGGGAAAUAGAGUCUUGGUACUUGUUUCGCUCUCCGGUCGGGCUUUGGCAGGCGGACUUCCGGCGUCCUCCUGCGCAGGUGCGCCUCACGGUUUCUGAGGGUUGGCGCACGCGCGCCGUCGCCGCGCCGCCUUCGCUUCCUGUGCGUGCGCAGGUCGGCUAUGGUCGUCGUUCCGCCGUUUUGGCCUCUUGCCGAACAUUCGGGGCUUGCGGGGCUGGACGCCGUCGGGCCCGGCCGGCAACAAGCGCGAGCGGGGUUAGCGGGCGAGGGUUCGCGCAGGCCGGGCGGAGGCUGGAAGUGGGACCGCCGAGCUUGAGCCGCGGAGCCCGCGGCCUGGGCCGGAGUGGCCGAACGGCCGGCGGCGGUCCGCGGCAUAGCGAGUUCCCGGGAGAGCCGUGGGCCUGAAGGGAGUUUGUGCCGUAGGCCCAGAGCCGGCUCCUCGGGCCCAGUGGCCUAGGGAGGCGGAGAGGAGGGACCCCGAGAGAGGAGCGCGCCGGAGGAGCAGCCCCCGGACCGGAGCCUCGGGAGCCCGGGGACGGUCAGCGAGUCUCGACGGGGUUGGUCCGCCUCCACUGUCACAGUCCUGCACGCUGUUCCAAGAGCAGCAGAAAAUGAAUCAGCCCCUGGUUUGGACAAGUGUGAUGACCUGCAGCCACCACUGCAGUGCUACCCAGAAGCACUUCACUGCCCGAAACAUCCGUGCCGGUCACCUGUUCAUUCCCCCCCCAGUGUCCCCGAGCCCCCGACAGCUGCUGAUCUUGUUACUGUCUGUGUAUUUUUGCCCUUUCCAGAAUGUCACGUAGUUGGAAUCCUUCUGUCUGUGGUCUUUUCAGACUGGUGUAUUUCUGUUUUUACAUGAAGGGCCUGUCAUGUGCAUUGCCCGUCUUCCUGCCCCAAUACUGUCUUGUUUUGUUCUGUUUCGUUCUGUUUUGUUUUCCUUGUCUUAUUGGCUUUCAGAGUCGUGUUAAAUGUUUCUAAAUUUUUCCAGUUGGGGUCAUGUUAGUAAACAUUGUUUUCCAAAGGUUAUUGUCUUUUUCCUGUAUUUUCCAGCAUUGCUAUGUAAUUCAUUACUUUUUUUUUACUUUGAGAGGUUGAAUACUAUGCAUUUCAAAAGUUUCUAGAAAUCAGCACGUUUGUGUGGGUAAGAGUCCUAGUUGAAGAGCACCCUCCUUGGUCAGUACUGAGGUGCAGCUUCUUUGCGGGCGGAGGCGCGUGAGGGGGGAGGAAUGCGUCGGUCUCGUGGUUCCCUUUCUGCUGGGUCUCAGUUCCCCUUUCUGGUUCUGGGCAGUGCAUCAGCCACUCUCCUGGGACAGGCCAGGCAGGUGGGAUCCUCGCUUCCUGGCUGUGGAGGCUGUGUGUGUCUGGGAACACCUUUCUUUUUCCCUGAGGAGCGAGAGGACCCUUUUGGUUGUGGAGCAGCGUCCUAGGACUGCGGCCCCUGGGCCCCCGCUGUUGUGUGUCAUUUGGGCCCCAGCCAUGCAUGGGAGAUCUCUGACACAGGGACGCAGCUGUUAAAGCCCUCUUGGGGUUUUGUCACGUACAAUCCUCUGAGGAAUACUCCUUUUCUCUAAUGGAAUUCCAGUGCUUAAGCUUUCUAGCCACUCAUGAAAAGAAUCUCAGAAAGGAAAGGAGACCUGUCCUCUCUGCCACCAAGCAGGGGAGUGAGCCAACACUGUGAAC